rnacentral:tRNA from 1 species
GUGAGUAUAGCUAAGUGGUAGAGCAUGUGCUUAGCAUGCACGAGGUCUUAGGUUCAAUACCCAGUACCUCCA